ACCGGCACCGUUACGGUCGACCCACUAUCUGCGGCGACGCGAGGGAAGCCGGUGAGAAUCCGGCGCGGUCGCGCCACUGUGAGCGGUCUCCGAUCCUGGGGGCCGCGAGCCAGGACGCUCGGUCGUCCGCAGCCUUGCGAU
rnacentral:ncRNA from 2 species